UCCCUUAGAUGUCCGGGGCCGCACGCGCGCUACACUGAAGGAAUCAGCGUGGCUUUCUCCCUGACCCGAAAGGGUUGGGAAACCCGUCGAAUCUCCUUCGUGAUAGGGAUUGGGGCUUGAAAUUGUUCCCCAUGAACGAGGAAUUCCCAGUAAGCGCGAGUCAUAAGCUCGCGUUGAUUACGUCCCUGCCCUUUGUACACACCGCCCGUCGCUACUACCGAUUGAACGGUUUAGUGAGGGCCUCGGAUUGGUCUCGGCCCGCUCUUUACCGGGCGGCGCCGUUGGUCGAGAAGACGCUCGAACUUGAUCGUUUAGAGGAAGUAAAAGUCGUAACA
rnacentral:rRNA from 1 species